ensembl:lncRNA
UUGAAAAAUUGAUUUUACUCUGUAAUUAAUUUAUAUGCUCCCAUAUUUAGCAUGUAAAUGAGGCCAAAUAUAUGUCAUUCUUUAAUUUUAGGAACACACUGUUGAUACAGGCACACACACACACAAACACACACACAUAUAUUUGGAAGUAACAAGUGUGCUACCACUGGCUAGGAAUAGUUGGGGGAGGGGGUAGGAAACAGAACUAAAGCAAAUGGCAUGUUAUCAGCACAGAUACAAUUAGCAACAUUUUACUGUAUCACACAUACUUGCAAUGCAGUGUAUCUAAAAACAAACUUAAAGGAAGUGGAGAACAAGGAAAACAUUUUCCCCAGUUAAUUCCCAUAACAAGUCACAAGGAUUUCAUCAUAAAGUAGGAAUUACAAACAGUGGGGGCAAAAAAGUAAGGAAUAAAGAUUAAAUUCACAAAACAAGUUGAUAUCUUUAUGUUUUCAUGACUGUGAUCCAUAAAUCCAACUAAAUCAGUUUUUUCAAAUGUAUUCCAAUUUAACUCAUCUUCUCCGGAUCCCCCCAAAAGAUUUUAAUGGCUGGCUUGUCUUGAAACUCAGGGACAUUUAUUUGUGAGUUCUCCAAGAUGCUGAGUAACAUGGCAAUCUUUAAGAAAUAAAGUCUGCCAAGCGCGGUGGCUCACGCCUGUAAUACCAGCACUUUGGGAGGCCAAGGUAGAAGGAUGGCUUCAGCCCAGGAGUUCGAGACCAGGACCAGCCUGGACAACAUAGUGAACCUUGAUAAUUAGCUGAGUGUGGUGGCAUGCGCCUGUAGUCGUCACUACUUGGAAGGCUGAGGUGGGAGGAUCAUGAGUCCAGGAGUUUGAGGUUGCAGAGAGCUAUGAUCACACCACUGUAUUCCAGCCUGGAUGACAGAGCAAGACCCUGUCUUUAAAAAAAAAAAAAAAAGUUUGCCAAAUUCUUUCCAGGGGUAAUGAGCUGAGUGAGAGAAGACAGCAUAGUGCCCAAUCCCCAGUGCAAACAGUAACUCUGUCCCUACUACUCCAUUGAGACUGGGAGCCUCCAGAUGUGGGUGGUUCCGCAUUGUUCGCAUUCCUCCUGGAGACACUUACUGCUGGGCUACUGCUCCGGGAGCCACAGCCGACAGAUGAGCCUCUUGUCCCUGCUAGAUUUUACAACCUGGCUCCAGCAAUGAUAGGGACUGAAGGCAAAGGUGAUUCCAGGGGACUGCCAGUCAGCUCCCCAUUUGUGACCUGGAUUGUCCAACUUUCUCCUUUAUAGUGUGUGUAUGGCUCAAAUGAAGCAAUGAGAAACUUGAAGGACAAAAGCUGAGUUGCAGAUGGAAUAUAGAGGGGUGUAGCAACCUAACUGAGAACUUUGAUCAUUCUUCCUUUAGUCUGAUCAAUUUAAGACACAGUCGAGCUUACACUGUUGGAAUGGAGGAGCUGUCAUCCAACACUGCCCUAUUGACUCUUCUUGCCAAAUGACCUCACAUAAUUCCUUAUAAUUAUUUUUAAAUGUUCUACCCACUAGAAAUGGGCUGAGAAUUUUGUUCCCAGCCCUUCCUAUUCCAUAUACAUAUCUAAGUUUGAAUCAGUUUGAGCAGGGACAUAUCUU